GGUACUCAGGUACCAUCAAUUUUAUUUGACCAAAACAAAGUAUAGUCAAGUACCAUCAAUUUUAUUUGACCAAAAAAAGUAGUCAAGUACCAUCAAUUUUAUUUGUCAAUAGUUGCUUCAAGUUUUUAAUGUUACAAAAAAUCAAAAUUUCAGCCAUUUUUUCAAAAAAAAAAGAAUCAAAAUUUCCAUAGUUUCUUCAAAAAAAAAUCGUACGAAGUAUUUGUAUAGGAUUUGACUAUUUCUGUAGGUGAAAUGACUUCCAACGAUAUGAAUUUUCUGCACGUUGAACGUAGUAAGUUCGGAAUACAAUGAAUGUAUCGCUUUGUUUUUUUUUUGUAAAGAAUGUCGCUUUUUUGUACAUGCAUAAAUAUCAAAUCUUACAAAAAUCAAUAAUAUAAAAUCAUCAGAACUUUUAUUAAAAGAAUCUUUAGAACUUCAAGUAUAAAGGUAAAACUAAUACGUUUGACCAAAAAUCAGGUUUGGUCUCCCUUGGCAACAAAUAUAUUAUAAAUAUUUGGUCUCCCUUGGCAACAAAUAUAUUAUAAAUAUAAAAAUCCCAUACUCAUUUCUUGUUUUGUUUUGUUUUUGCCAAUAACAAAGUUAGAAAAACACAUUACAUAUUCUGAAAACACUUGUCAUCCGCCAAUCACCAAACUUAUCCAAUCAUCAUGACUUAGCGACUGUGUCUUUGCUUUCAGCCUAGUGAUAGUGAAUGUCAUCAUGAGAAGUGGAGAUGAGCACCAUCAAUGCAUCCUGACUGAAUGCAUCAACAUUAUAACUCAUUUUUUGGUGUGAACAUUAUAACUCAUUUUCCAUAAAUACACACAUAAAUAAUAAUUAACACAUUACAAACAAUACAAAAAUUAAGGACGGACUUUAUGAAGUAAGGUU
rnacentral:lncRNA from 1 species